CAGUCGCCGCGGUAAUACGAAGGGGGCAAGCGUUGUUCGGAAUUACUGGGCGUAAAGGGCGCGUAGGCGGUGUACUAAGUUAGGCGUGAAAGCCCUGGGCUCAACCCGGGAAUUGCGCUUGAUACUGGUACGCUUGAAUCCAGGAGAGGUUGGUGGAAUUCCCAGUGUAGAGGUGAAAUUCGUAGAGAUGUGGAGGAACACCAGUGGCGAAGGCGACUCUCUGGUCUGUAACUGACGCUGAGGAGCGAAAGCGUGGGGAGCGAACAGGAUUAGAUACCCGUGUAGUCCCUGUCUCUUAUAC
rnacentral:rRNA from 1 species